rnacentral:rRNA from 1 species
AUACGUAGGGGGCGAGCGUUGUCCGGAAUGAUUGGGCGUAAAGGGCGCGUAGGCGGCGCGGUAAGUCUGGAGUGAAAGUCCUGCUUUCAAGGUGGGAAUUGCUUUGGAUACUGCCGCGCUUGAGUGCAGGAGAGGUUAUCGGAAUUCCCGGUGUCGCGGUGAAAUGCGUAGAGAUCGGGAGGAACACCAGUGGCGAAGGCGGGUAACUGGACUGCAACUGACGCUGAGGCGCGAAAGUGUGGGGAGCAAACAGGAUUAGAUACCCUGGUAGUCCACACUGUAAACGAUGAAUGCUAGGUGUAAGAGGUAUCGACCCCUUUUGUGCCGGAGUCAACACAAUAAGCAUUCCGCCUGGGGAGUACGGCCGCAAGGUUGAAACUCAAAGGAAUUGACGGGG